rnacentral:rRNA from 1 species
UACGUAGGGUGCAAGCGUUAAUCGGAAUUACUGGGCGUAAAGCGUGCGCAGGCGGUUAUGUAAGACAGGGGUGAAAUCCCCGGGCUUAACCUGGGAACUGCAUUUGUGACUGCAUAGCUAGAGUACGGUAGAGGGGGAUGGAAUUCCGCGUGUAGCAGUGAAAUGCGUAGAGAUGUGGAGGAACACCGAUGGCGAAGGCAGCCCCCUGGGCUGACACUGACGCUCAGGCACGAAAGCGUGGGGAGCAAACAGG